rnacentral:rRNA from 1 species
UACGGGGGGUGCGAGCGUUGUCCGGAAUUACUGGGCGUAAAGCGUGCGCAGGCGGUUUUGUAAGCCAGAUGUGAAAUCCCCGAGCUUAACUUGGGAACUGCAUUUGGGACUGCAAGGCUAGAGUACGGCAGAGGGGGGUAGAAUUCCACGUGUAGCAGUGAAAUGCGUAGAGAUGUGGAGGAACACCGAUGGCGAAGGCAGCCCCCUGGGUCAAGAUUGACGCUCAUGCACGAAAGCGUGGGGAGCAAACAGG